rnacentral:ncRNA from 2 species
UGUUUUUAUGAUCCUUACGGUGCCGGACACAAUGCAAUGUGUCCGGCUUAAAAGGGAAUCCGGUGUGAAUCCGGAACAGUACCCGCUGCUGUAAUCCCUUGCCGGUCAAGAGUCCGGUAAAGAGGUAUGCAGAGGAAACGCCACUGAUUCGCUCCCCGCGGAUCGGGAAGGCCUGCAUGCAAGGGAAAGUCAGAAGACCUGCCGUAACGGAGUAAUGCUU